GACGAACGCUGGCGGCGUGCUUAACACGUGCAAGUCGAACGGAAAGGCCUGCUUUCCCUUGUGGAUUGCGGGUACUCGAGUGGCGAACGGGUGAGUAACACGUGAGUGAUCUGCCCCCAACUUGGGUAUAAGCCUGGGAAACUGGGUCUAAUUCCCGAUAGGACUGCAGGGUGGUGCCUGUGGUGGAAAACGAUUUUCUAGUGGUUGGGGAUGAGCUCGCGGCCUAUCAGCUUGUUGGUGGGGUAAUGGCCUACCAAGGCGGCGACGGGUAGCCGGCCUGAGAGGGUGGACGGCCACAUUGGGACUGAGAUACGGCCCAGACUCCUACGGGAGGCAGCAGUGGGGAAUAUUGCACAAUGGGCGGAAGCCUGAUGCAGCGACGCCGCGUGGGGGAUGACGGCCCUCGGGUUGUAAACUCCUUUCGACCGCGAGGAAGCCACCUGGUUGGAAGGGUGGUGACGGUAGUGGUAGAAGAAGCACCGGCUAACUACGUG
rnacentral:rRNA from 1 species